rnacentral:tRNA from 1 species
GGAGGAGUGACCGAAUCUGGCAAGGAGCCGGUCUCGAAAACCGGUAAGGCCGAAUGGCCCUGUGGGUUCGAGUCCCACCUCCUCCGCCA